UAUCUCUGUAGAGUCUGCAUAUCAAUAAGCGGAGGAAAAGAAACUAAUUAGGAUUCCCUUAGUAACGGCGAGUGAAGCGGGAAGAGCUCAAAUUUGAAAUCUUCAAGGUUUUACCUUGACGAAUUGUAGUUUAAAGAAGUGUUUUCUGUUGGUGUUUUGGUAAAAGUUCUUUGGAAUAGGACAUCAUAGAGGGUGAGAAUCCCGUAUUUGACCAUUACUUCCAGCUGUGUGAUACACUUUCAAAGAGUCGGAUUGUUUGGGAAUGCAGUCCAAAAUGGGUGGUAAAUUUCAUCUAAAGCUAAAUAUUGGCGAGAGACCGAUAGCGAACAAGUACCGUGAGGGAAAGAUGAAAAGGAACUUUGAAAAGAGAGUUAAACAGUACGUGAAAUUGUCAAAAGGGAAGCGUUUGACACCAGUGUUGUUUUCUCGAAAAUCAAUUAAAAAAAGUUGGAUUUUGUAUUGUUAAGACCUUAUCAGCUUACUGUACUCUUUUCUUGCUUUUUUUAAUGCACUUUUCGUUUAACAAGUCAACAUCAAUUUCUUUUGUUGUAAAAGAGUCAUUGGAAGGUGGCUUUCACUUCGGUGAAAGUGUUUAUAGCCUUUGGCUUCUGCAAUCGGAGAGAUUGAGGUCUGCAGCGUAGAUCCUUCGGGGCUAGAUACGUAGAUGCUAAGUUAUAGUUUUUUAUAGACAACUUGUUGACUAUAACUAAUCAUGUAGCUUACUCGUUUGCGCUAUUUUACCUACGCUUAGGAUGUUGAUCUGUAGUGCGUGCGC
rnacentral:rRNA from 1 species